AAAAACCUAAAUUAAAUGCGAAUCUUGUAUUAUUAUUACAAAAACUGAAAAAGAGUUGUAUUAUAGAUUAAACACAUGAUGAUGACCAAAUUUAACAUACACAAUCUCGCCGUCGAUUUAUCUAAUUACGGCGGCGAUUAGGGUGUGACGCCGCAGUAGAUCUGGAGAAGAUCUUCGCUGGAUUUCUUGAGAGAAUUGAUGUACGACUCGUAGAAGCGUAAGAGGCCGUCGUGCUCGAAAGGAUUGUAGCGGAGGGGAUGUUGGUCAUCGACGAGCUCCUCCGGCGUACGGAUCGUUCCUUUGUGGAAGGAGAAAAACCCUAAAGAGUAUCGAAUCUCAUCUGCACUCAUCACUACCUUGUGGUAACAUGCCUUUAUCCUAUCGUUACUCCACGCCUUCAUCACCAACAAAAAGAUUUCACAUUUAUUGCUAUGUCUAGGUGUUUCGACUAAUCGGAUUUGGUUUAGAGCUCACCGUGAGACCCAUGCCGGAGAGAACGACGAAUCUUGUUGGGGACGGGUUAAACCCGACCCAUUGGCCGGUCAUGGUUUUCAACUGGAGACCUCCGACGUGGUUCUGGUGGAGGAUACUCAUGAAGCUCUUAUCAGUGUGUGACACGAAACCAGUGUUUGCUUCACCGUUUUGCUGUCUCCUGUAACUCAGCAUCCUCAACAGGUAUCGAGUUGACUCGGAGUGACUCACAGAAUGCUUCUUCUCAUCCAUUCCAUAGCUUUCAUACAACAUCCUCAUCACCGUCUGGUCUAGCUCCGCCAUUGUCAUUGCAUACAUAUGUGUGGUUUGACUGCAAAUCAUCUGAGAUGUGACAAGAACGACAUAGAUGAAAUGAAAGAAAGUCUUUAUGUGUGUGUUUUUACCAGAAGGGAUCGUUUCCCUGUGGCCAGAGUAGUUUAGAGAAGUCUUUGCAAGCUUGAAGCUCGGUUGCAUAAUCGAUCCCCAAGCUCUCAUGGAUCCGGUAAUCGUCAACUACCAUAGACAUGUAGCCAUGGGACGCCUUGUGGUUCUCGUUCUUGAUUUUGAUUUGGUCUGGGAGAUAAUACAUCUCCUUCAUGCCGGCCAGCAAGUUGUCCCUGAGGUCAGAUGAGACGCCACUGAACUCUGCCACAAACCAACCCUGCCCCUCCAUGGCUCUUCUGACAUCGUCCCUGGUCGUGAUCCAGUGACUCGUGCCUCGCACUAGUUUAUCGCUGGAGAAGUCGAGGAUAGGUAAGCAUUGCUCUUCAUGUGAGUCCAUUGGACUGGAUAGCCAAAAGGUCAGGUGAUGAUGAUGUAUAUAGAGAUCACUCUAGCAUUGCAUUUAUAGAAACAUGUAAACCAGUAGUUGUCAAAGUCAAUUGUACAUUCACAGUGGAUUCGGGAUUCGAUUCUUUAUAGAAAGGACAAUACUUGGGAGAGAUCCAGUUUUGGCUCUUUUAUGCGUCAGCCUUAUGAUUUUCUUUAGUUAAAAGGGCACCAACCCCUAUGAGCGCAGAUGGAAUCGAAGACAUAAGAUGCACUCGCAGCUGCCCGCCAUUUCGUCAUAAGUACUUCUCCAUCAAGUCAUUUUGGCAAGUCCAUCUUAGACAUCACGAGGAGCGGCUUCGGAAUCGACCUGCGACUCAUCACUUGACCGGGAAAACAGAGUUACUGAAGAACAGUCUAACGUUCUUAGCUUCAGUAACAAGUAAAGAACAACUCCACAACCAAAUCCUAAGGCGGCACUCGAGCCAGUCAUCGACACAGCGGCGCAGACCAGCAUGAUGAAGGAAUCUUCUUUGGAGUUCAUGUCUUUGGAAGCCAUUGCCAGUUCGAUUCCCGCGAAUAGCAACAGAACCCCUAAAAUUCCAAUCGGAAACUGACUCAGAAUCCUUACAAAGGAGUUUCCAAACACCAGACCCACAAUCAGUUUCCCGAUUCCGAGAAAAAUAACGGAUAAUCCACUCCUUGCCCCAAACCGAUACUGACCAGCUAACCCACCAGCACCGUGACAGACGGGCAUAGCGCCAAACCAGCACCCUAUUAAGUUCAUCACCCCAACGCUGAUGGAGACUGUAGUCGCAGAGAGUUCCUUGUCAAACAAGUCAUUGGAUAAUUUACAAACUGCGAUCACUGAGUUCAGUACAGAGAGUGGAAUCUGAGGAAUCGCCGCCCUCAGAAACCCGAUUUUCCAAUCAUCCCAACUGAUUCUCAGAAUGUGGAACUUCGAGGGACCGAAUUUAAGGUCUUUGAAAAUGGAUGGAUCACGUAUGAAACAGAGCACUAACCCGAGUGCGAACACGAUCAGCGCAGAUGGAAUCGAAGACAGAAGACGCAGUCUCCUCCGGCGAGACUGGCUUUCGUUGCUGGAAGUCUCGGCGAGAUCUCCAUCUUCAGCUUCUCUGUCGUUGCCAGAGCCGGUGGACAAAAUGAUGAAGAGCAGAGCAGCUAGAGCCAAGAUAAGGCCGUCGAGGCCAAGCCAAAUACGAGGAGAAGAAGAGGGUUUGAGAGUGGCAGUAUCGUAAUUAAACCUGACGUAUUUGAUGGCGGUGAAGGCGAACUGAAGACCUUGAGAAAGCUGGACGCCGCGUACAACUGGGAGAGGGAUGAUGUUGUAGAGGAAAGACAUAGCUCCGGUGGCGCCAAGGAGGAGGAGCGUGGCGGCAGUGGAUGCACCAGCGGCGGCAAUCUGAGAAGGAGUUAGAUGCGGGGAUUCGGAGACAGCGACAGCGGCGAUGGAUUUCAUGGGCUGGACGGGCAUAGGGAUGUCAAAGAGGAGACCGGUGGCGAUGUUGUAGAAACCAGUGAAGAUGAGAGUGGUGGAGAGAUCAAGAUUGGAGACUAGAGUUAGUGUAAGGACGAUGGGGAUGAAGGUGCCGAGAUCACCGACAGCGCCGGAGAGUUCAGAAGAAAGAGGGUUUUUGAGGCGGAGACGGCGACGGAGCCACCCGCAUCUGCUGCGAUCACCGGGGAGCAGAGGAGUUGUAGUUGUCUCCAUGAUUGGAUCUAAAGUCAAAGCUCUCUUUCUCUCUGUUGGUUGACAAUUCUAUUUGAUAAGAAAGAUAAAAAGGAUUGGGAAUCCCCGGGGAAGUUGGAUAAAAGACGGCUUUUCAGACACUGGACGAGUCCAAUGUCCUAACGACGUGCAAAUAUCAACCAUCUUGUAUCUAAAAUAAAUAAUUUAUUGAAUUUCCCGGGACCAUGUGAAAAUAUUGUUACAACAGUACAACUACCUGCUGUUUUUUUUUUUCGCGCAAACGCUUUCCUUUUUUUCAGGUAGCAAUAGAGAGACUCACUCAGCAGCACUCAGUGUUUGUAUUGUUUAUAACUCUUUUCAAAGACUC
rnacentral:lncRNA from 1 species